CUCUUAUCCAGAGAGGUGGAGGGACCGGCCCAUCGAAACCUCGGCAACCUGAUUAAUUUCAAGGUGCCAAAUCCGGCAGAAGAAAGAAAAUCUGGAAGAUAGGAG
rnacentral:ncRNA from 2 species